GAUGAACGCUGGCGGCGUGCCUAAUACAUGCAAGUCGAGCGAACAGAUAAGGAGCUUGCUCCUUUGAAGUUAGCGGCGGACGGGUGAGUAACACGUGGGUAACCUACCUAUAAGACUGGGAUAACUUCGGGAAACCGGAGCUAAUACCGGAUAACAUUUAGAACCGCAUGGUUCUAAAGUGAAAGAUGGUUUUGCUAUCACUUAUAGAUGGACCCGCGCCGUAUUAGCUAGUUGGUAAGGUAACGGCUUACCAAGGCGACGAUACGUAGCCGACCUGGGAGGGGGAUCGGCCGAACUGGAACUGAGACACGGUCCAGACUCCUACGGGAGGCAGCAGUAGCGAAUCUUCCGCAAUGGGCGAAAGCCUGACGGAGCAACGCCGCGUGAGUGAUGAAGGGUUUCGGCUCGUAAAACUCUGUUAUUAGGGAAGAACAAAUGUGUAAGUAACUGUGCACAUCUUGACGGUACCUAAUCAGAAAGCCACGGCUAACUACGUGCCAGCCGCCGCGGUAA
rnacentral:rRNA from 1 species